GUAGGUGGCAAGCGUUGUCCGGAAUUAUUGGGCGUAAAGCGCGCGCAGGCGGGUCCUUUAAGUCUGAUGUGAAAGCCCACGGGCUCAACCGUGGAGGGUCAUUGGAAACUGGGGGGACUUGAGUACAGAAGAGGAAAGCGGAAUUCCAAGUGUAGCGGUGAAAUGCGUAGAGAUUUGGAGGAACACCAGUGGCGAAGGCGGCUUUCUGGUCUGUAACUGACGCUGAGGCGCGAAAGCGUGGGGAGCAACCAGGAUUAGAUACCCUGGUAGUCCACGCCGUAAACGAUGAGUGCUAAGUGUUAGGGGGUUUCCGCCCCUUAGUGCUGCAGCUAACGCAUUAAGCACUCCGCCUGGGGAGUACGGCCGCAAAGGCUG
rnacentral:rRNA from 1 species